rnacentral:rRNA from 1 species
UACGUAGGGCGCAAGCGUUGUCCGGAAUUAUUGGGCGUAAAGAGCUCGUAGGCGGCCUGUUGCGUCCGCUGUGAAAUCCCGGGGCUUAACCCCGGGCUUGCAGUGGAUACGGGCAGGCUGGAGGCAGGCAGGGGAGAACGGAAUUCCGCGUGUAGCAGUGAAAUGCGUAGAUAUGCGGAGGAACACCGAUGGCGAAGGCAAUCCCCUGGGCCUGUACUGACGCUCAUGCACGAAAGCGUGGGGAGCAAACAGG